GCAGCCGUGGCCUACUGGUUAGGACUUUGGGCUUGGAACCGAAGGGUUGUCGGUUUGAUCCCCGACCAAGUGCC
rnacentral:tRNA from 1 species